rnacentral:rRNA from 1 species
AACGAACGCUGGCGGCAUGCCUAAUACAUGCAAGUCGAACGCGAACGGGCUUCGGCCCAAGUAGAGUGGCGGACGGGUGAGUAAUGCGUGGGAAUCUACCCUCGAGCGGGGGACAACCCGGGGAAACCCGGGCUAAUACCGCAUACGUCCUACGGGAGAAAGCGGGCCUCUACACUAUGCUCGCACUCGAGGAUGAGCCCACGUCCGAUUAGCUAGUUGGUAGGGUAACGGCCUACCAAGGCCACGAUCGGUAGCUGGUCUGAGAGGAUGAUCAGCCACACUGGGACUGAGACACGGCCCAGACUCCUACGGGAGGCAGCAGUGGGGAAUAUUGGACAAUGGGCGCAAGCCUGAUCCAGCAAUGCCGCGUGUGUGAAGAAGGCCUGCGGGUUGUAAAGCACUUUCAGUGGGGAAGAACGGAUACGGGCCAAUACCCCGCAUCACUGACGUUACCCACAGAAGAAGCACCGGCUAACUCCGUGCCAGCAGCCGCGGUAA